UCAUCCAGCAUUUCCUCAGUGACAGUGAUGUGGGGGAGACGCGAAUGUCUGCCUGUGGUGGCGCUGGUGCUGGUGUUGGCGACGGGGGCAGCCCGAGCCUUCCUCGCCACCCAACUCAACACCACAGACCCUGAUAUUGCUGGUAUUCUGUGUCCAGACCAGGCGACUGAGGUGACCAGAGACCACGAGUGGAUCACCAGAGAGGCCGUCCGACGCAACAUCCGUGACUUCUUCUUGGCCUAUCCACCUGGGGGUCGACCCGACUUCUUGCUGCCGGCCGACGCCACGCUGACCGAGCUCUUCCACACCUACUACGGGGAGACUGCCUCUCCGACUCGCUUCAUCAAGGCUGUCAACUCCAUCGUUGCCGCCAAUGUCCAGGCCGAUUCCUUGCCUCAGUACAGGUUCGACCCGGCCAUCCAUGGUGACGGAGAGAGACUGAGCGAGGUGCAGGCCAAGCUGGUCACAAGGUACCCCCAGAUCCUGACGGCCAUCUUGCGGGACGAGGCUUAUCCUGCCGCCCGUAGCCUCCUCGGGACCUCCCUUCACUCUAUCCAAAAGUUCUAUGCCCACUCCACCUGGAUAGAGCAGGGACACGACACUAUCCUGGAGGCGUUGGGUAUACCUGGUAACGAAAUGGAAGGACUGGCUAACGAUGCAGAGGAUGUGUGUACCUCGUGCUCCUCAGCAGAGGGCUGCUCGGGGAACGUGAUAGCAGGAGCUGGCCUCAGCAGUGGCUACUACGUCUACCCUGAAGAUUCGGCUUCCAGCUACCUCGUGCCCAAACCAGAAACGGGAGGCAAGUGUAGCCACGGCGGGGUGCUGGACGACAGCCGCAGCCAGCCAGCCGUCGGGGGCGUCAAUAAGGACACUUCAUACCCUUGCUUCUCUCCUCACUACCACCUCCACCUCGAAGCCGUCCAACUCGCUCUCCAGGCUACGGACUACUACCUGAAGCAGGUUCUGCAGGCUGUGGGGGCCGACAUGUACCGUCGCCUCUUCGACCUGUACCAAGGCUCGGCGCUCUCUAUAUGUAUCGACACUACAGGAUCAAUGGGCGACGACAUUGCAGCCGUGCAGGAUCAGGUCGCUCAGAUCGUGGCCAACUCUAACCCUGAAAUAUACGUCCUGGCACCUUACAAUGACCCGAGUGUGGGGCCUCUACUGAAGACCGACGACUCUGAGGAGUUCCUGGCCGCCGUCAACGCCCUGACAGCCGGCGGCGGUGGCGACGAGCCUGAGAAGUUCUGGAGCGGCCUCCAGCUGGCGCUGUCGGCGACUCCAGCGUACGGGGACAUCUUCUGCUUCACCGACGCCUCAGCAAAGGACGGAGACCUCAUGGAAAGUCUCAUCUCCCUCGCCCAGCAGCAAAACAACAAGGUGACGGUGAUCCUGAGUGACAUCUACAGGAGGAAGAACACCGGGGAAGACUACGCCCCUGGGGAGCUGGACCGGGAGGAGGAGAGUGACCGCACUAGGGACGUAAACACAGGGGUGGCAGAGUACCAGCGGCUGGCUGAUGAGACCGGCGGACUACUCAUCAGUACCGACAAGUUCAAUGUUGACGAUAUUGUCAACAUCAUCGGCGCCGGCAUCGAGACCGCCUCGGUGACCAUCUUAAACCUGGUGGAAGUGACCGGCACGGAGGAGAAGUUGGUGCCUGUUGACGACUCCAUUGUGGACCUGGAGGUGCGCCUCACUGGCUCCCUAACCUCCGCUAUCUUCACUGACGUUACUGGGAUAUCCUACGACCUGAUGGACAGAGCGUCUCUGGAGGCAACAGGAGUAGUAGAGGUGGUCUCGUACACCACCACCUUCAAGGCGGUACGCUGGCCCACCCCGGUCUACGGCGAAUGGACCAUCUCCACCGUCGGCGCUGACAGCUACUCUGUCACCGUCCUAGCAACCUCCCCGAUCGACUUCCUUGCUGGCUUCUCUGUGCUCGACCCCAACCCUCCACACCCACACUAUCAGCCUAUUGAUGGUCGACCUCUCAUGGAGACGGUCUACUACCUGGACCUGACCCUUGUGGGCUACUUGGAAGGUGACGUCAUCACUCUGGACACCAUCUACUAUGUUGAUAAGGCUGGGGAGGAGCUGCGCGCCAUCCCGUACUCCGGGGAACUCGCUGAUCACCUCUACAUCAGAACUGAGCCGCUCCCUGAAGAGUCCUUCUUCCUCGUCAUCUCCGGCCACGUCUCCACAGGGAAGAGGUACCAGCGGGUGCAGGUGGUGUUGAUAACGCCGGUGUCCACCAGUGUGGAGGUGAGGGCCACCUCCGAGGACCUCUCUGCCAGGCCCGGGGAGUCAACGACAGCAGUCUUCGUCGUCACCAACUACGGCCUCACCUCCUACUUCGACAUCUCCGGCACGGACGACCUGGGCUUCCUCACCACUGUCACUCCUGCCAGGGUACACCUGGCCACCAACGAGUCAGCGGAGGUGGUAGCGAGCUUCACCGUACCGACGAGCGCGCUCUCGGGCUCCGUGAGCACCGUGGUGGUCACUGCGCAGAGUGAGUCCCAGACGCGCUCAGUCAACAGUGCCGUCGCCCACUUCGUCGUUCUUUCCACGGUCGACGACUCUGAGCCUCCCAUCUGCAAGAUGCUGGACUGGUCCAACUGUACCGGCUACACUGACAACGGCAUCUGUUCCCUCAGCUCCUGGACCCUCGACGCCUCCCUCCAGGACAUUGGCUCAGGACUGUACCAAGUGAGGGCCCAACCCACCGGGGAGGUGUUCGAGGUCACCGACCUCACCCCGGGGACGACCAGCGAGGUGCUCACCGUCUACGAGAACAGCUGCUGCUACCCGUACGUCGAGUUGAUCGGCGUCGACGGCCAGGCCAACGUGGGCAAGUGCGUCGUCGACAUGGGACCCCUGGGAGGUAUGAUCUACAACUUCGAGGUGGUGACUGCUGGGGACACCUACAUGAUCCUCCACUGGAACAUCACUCCGUCCCACUACGAGAUCUACGACUACGACCUCCUCGUCGACUCAGAGUUUGUCCAGCAGAUCACAUGUAAGGAGGACUACUGUGUGGCCCUGGUGAGCUACCUGGAGCCGUGCACCGCCCAGACCUUCAACCUCACACCUGUCUUCGACUACAAUGGUGAAAAGCUGCCUGGCAUCCCUGCCUACACCCAGGGAGACACUCUUGACGAUGAAGUGCCCCACACGCCCUUCAAUGCGACGGAGGUGGACCGGACGGAGGUCAGCAUCACCAUCUCCUGGGAGGCCAUCAACCCCAAGUGUAGCCACCUCUUCCAGGUGUGCUACUACGAAGUGGACUCUGGACCAGAGUUCGAGGUGUGCGCCAACACUACGGACACCACCUUCACCCUGGACGGCCUCCUGGAGUGCCGAGCCUACUUCCUGGACGUGUCGGGCUACACCCCCGCAGGCGUCAUCAGCUCCCCGCUGCACUUCUACUCCGUCACCCUCUGCCCUGACGAGGCUUCCCGCCGGCAGCGCCACUAGGAGGGUCACCACCACCAGCAGGUCCACCACCACCACCAGCAUGUCCACCACGACCAGCAGGGCCAUUACCACCAGCAGGGCCACCACUAGCCCGUCUCCGCAGAGAUUACCCUGCUGACGGCGUCCUGCUCUCACGCGAGGCUAUGGAGGCAUCUCUGUCACACUUUUCUGGAUAACACAGGGUGAACUAUACAAGUUCAGCUUUAAAAAUCAACAUAAUAUGGAUUAGUUAGCAUUACGCAUACAAAACUGUAUAUCCUGUCAAGAACAUAACUGAGGAUGUACCUAUUUCGAAAACAACUUUGCCUGGAAAUUUUUCUUACACCAUCAACAAAACAUCAACGAAAUAAAGUGAAGCUGCAGGAUUGUAUUAAGUAUAUAAGUAGUAUUAGAUUGUAUAAGAAGUAAAUAAAACCAGAGCAUAUUGGUCACGUCUUAUUAUUGUGAAUGUUAAACGCAAUUAGUUCCACAUUACAAAUCAAAAAUGUAGGUUCCCAGAUUCACCGUAAUUCAAUUUCUUCCUUUAUUAUGCACCCCCUUACCCAUCUCGUGGGCGGCGGUGGAAAGGGUUUCAGGAACUGGACCCCAUAGUUCGUUCAGCUAAGCAAGUGACAAUGUUUUGAAGCUAGUUACACACUUGUUAAUGUUACAUACGCAUGAACAUUAUAUAUAUAUAUAUAUAUAUAUAUAUAUAUAUAUAUAUAUAUAUAUAUAUAUAUAUAUAUAUACAUAUCAACAAUUUUUUUUAUAUCACAAGUGAUUCAGUUAAUCCGUCGUAUGAGUAAAUAUGCUCAGUAAAUAUCGCAUAAAUAUAACAUUUUAGGAUUCAUCUCAAGGUGUGCAGCUAAUCUGAUCCAAAUGAGUUGAUAUUUGUAUAUGCUGGCAUGUGUAACAAAAAAUAAAAACCUGCUAUUAAAUGUAAAAAUAAAAUUUGUUAACAACUAA
rnacentral:misc_RNA from 1 species